UAGGAAAAAUGUAAAUAAUAGAAGCUGCUAACUAUCUAUAAUAAGCGGUUAAAUUCCGUUAUUUCCUUA
rnacentral:tRNA from 1 species